UUUGAAAACCUUAUAGAGUCUCGUAUAAUCUUGGAGAUAUGGUCCAUAAGUUUCUACCAGACUACCGUAAAUAGUCUGACUACGGGGAAUUAAUUUAGAUUU
rfam:Clostridia bacterium BRH_c25 BRHa_1000584, whole genome shotgun sequence.